CCUACGGGUGGCAGCAGUGGGGAAUAUUGCACAAUGGGGGAAACCCUGAUGCAGCGACGCCGCGUGAGUGAAGAAGUAUUUCGGUAUGUAAAGCUCUAUCAGCAAGGAAGAAAAUGACGGUACGUGAUUAAGAUGCCCCGGCUAACUACGUGCGAGCAGCCCCGGUAAUACGUCGGGGGCAAGGGUUCUCCGGAUUGACUGGGGGUAAAGGGAGCGUCUACGGCAGUACAAGUCUGGCGGGAAAUGCCUGGGGUUAACCUCGGAACUGCUUUGGAAACUGUGCAGCGAAAGUGCAGGAGAGGUAAGUGGAAUUCCUAGUGUAGCGGUGAAAUGCGUAGAUAUUAGGAGGAACACCAGUGGCGAAGGCGGCUUACUGGACUGUAACUGACGUUGAGGCUCGAAAGCGUGGGGAGCAAACAGGAUUAGAUACCCUAGUAGUC
rnacentral:rRNA from 1 species